UACGGAGGAUGCAAGCGUUAUCCGGAAUGAUUGGGCGUAAAGGGUCCGCAGGUGGCAAUGUGUGUCUGCUGUCAAAGAAUGAGGCUUAACCUCAUCAAGGCAGUGGAAACUACAUAGCUAGAGUACGGUCGGGGUAGAAGGAAUUCCCGGUGUAGCGGUGAAAUGCGCAGAUAUCGGGAAGAACACCCGUGGCGAAGGCGGUUCUCUGGGACGGUACUGACGCUGAGACGCGAAAGCGUGGGGAGCGAACAGG
rnacentral:rRNA from 1 species